CGGACUCUUCUACUGCUGCCAGCCUCUACCUUAUAGGAGGCUGAAGAUUUUUACCAAUGCCUGUUUCCUUCCUUAAAGGAGAAGGUGUCUCCAAGGGUGGCUGAAACCCCAGAGCAAGGGGUCAGAAGACACCAGCAUAGGACCAAUAUUCCAGUAUCACUUGCCUUCCAUGCAUUAUGGGACUGGGAGGGGCCAGCUAACAAAAGCAAGAACUCAAGGGACAGUGGCAUUCGCAUUGAGGGGGUGGAACAGAUGGCCAAGGCUUAGUGUACUGCGAGGUUUCUUUCCUUCUAGAGCUCCAGCAAUCUUUUCCAGUAGAAAGCCUACUGAAAAAUUGUGACAAGACGAAGCUGUAUUUGCCAGCCGGAAAUGGAAAAACAUGAUCUUGGAAGUUAGUCAU